rnacentral:rRNA from 2 species
CCUGGUGGCUCUGGCGAGGGCGGAACCACCCGAUCCCAUCCCGAACUCGGCCGUGAAACCCCUCAGCGCCGAUGGUACUGCGUCUUAAGACGUGGGAGAGUAGGUCGCCGCCAGGU